rnacentral:rRNA from 1 species
UACGAAGGACCCGAGCGUUAUCCGGAUUUAUUGGGUUUAAAGGGUGCGUAGGCGGAUUAGUAAGUCAGUGGUGAAAGCCCAUCGCUUAACGAUGGAACUGCCAUUGAUACUGCUAGUCUUGAGUAUGGUUGAGGUGGCGGAAUGUGUCAUGUAGCGGUGAAAUGCUUAGAUAUGACACAGAACACCGAUUGCGAAGGCAGCUCGCUAAACCAUAACUGACGCUGAGGCACGAAAGCGUGGGUAGCAAACAGG